rnacentral:rRNA from 1 species
ACCUGACCCCAUGCCGAACUCAGAAGUGAAACGCCGUAGCGCCGAUGGUAGUGUGGGGUCUCCCCAUGAGAGAGUAGGGAACUGCCAGGC